GACGUAGGGCGCAAGCGUUGUCCGGAUUUAUUGGGCGUAAAGAGCUCGUAGGCGGCUCGUUGCGUCGGCUGUGAAAACCCGCAGCUCAACUGUGGGCUUGCAGCCGAUACGGGCGGGCUGGAGUUCGGUAGGGGAGACUGGAAUUCCUGGUGUAGCGGUGAAAUGCGCAGAUAUCAGGAGGAACACCGGUGGCGAAGGCGGGUCUCUGGGCCGAUAUUGACGCUGAGGAGCGAAAGUGUGGGGGAGCGAACAGG
rnacentral:rRNA from 1 species